GGUCGAUGCUGCAGUGAGCCGAGAUUGUGCCUGGGUGACAGAGGAAGGCCCUGUCUUUUAAUUAAAAAAAAAGAUUCUCUGCAUUCGCCACAGGUGUGAGGUUGGGUGCAGGUGGCUGUCUGACAGCCUCGAGGCAUCGACGGACGGACGGAAUGACUGACAAUGCCAUACUCCCACAGGCCUCCCAUCUACCGCACAGCAGGCUGCCACUGCCACCACCACCAAUCCCAAGUCUGAUGGCAUUCUGGCUAUGACUUUCAAGAUUGUUCUCCUUUUGCAGCACCUAUGGUUAAAGUUCCUAUAGGGCUAUGUUUUCGCUUUAAAUUACUUCUUUUCCAAAGUCUGAAGUUAAUGUCCCCUGAAGACAGCAUCUUUUAUGAGACCAUUGUCGCAGUGGUUGGGCUUCAUGUGGUGCUUCAUAGUGUGGAAGGAGGGCUUGCCCCAAUGGUGGGAAAACAAAAAUGAAUAAAGCACUCCUUCAGAGCUGUAAGUGUGGGGGGGUUAGGGAAAUACCUAAAGGGUUUUUUGUUUUUCUUGUUCAUAUUAAAUGUACUUUUUAUAAUUAUUAUUAUUAUUAUUAAAAAGGAAUAGUGGAUGGUGAGGGAGUUAAGUAUUUACUGCAGCUAAGACUUCUGUAAAAAUGGGGGUUGGGGGAGGGUUGACAUUUUCCGACCACCUGUUAGUGCUAAGUGCUUUUUAUUAAGGACAGAAUAUUUUUGACUGAGGAUCGUGUUUGGCUGAUAUAAAUAUUAAUGCCAAAAUAGGAAGCAAGGAUGAAAGUGAUACUGUAAGUAGUCGAAUUAUUUCAUAUGAAAAUGCGUCAUGACAUAAUUUUUAUGGCUUGGCUCAAGCAACAAUUUUCAGAGUGCACCUGCAUUGAUGCUGCUCACAGAGAUGUGGAUGGGCUGUUUCUAACUCUGCCUACUAUGUGGCCUGUUGUGAUGAUGAAGUUGAUAAAGUAGACCAGUAUCAACGACUAAGUCUAGAAGACCUGGAAAAAUUGAAACGGGUCCUGAACCCCUCUUUUUGGUAAGCCAGAGUUCUGCAUGCCACUACACUACAGAUAAAAAGAAGCAAAUGGCUAUUUCCGCACCCUGCGAGCUGUAAUGCGCGGUCCUGAAGAGGAUGGAAAAUAUCCCCUUCAGUGCAUUGCAGAGAUGCUACAGAUCACCAUCCAAGCCAUAGAACUGGAGGUACCCAUAAUCAGGAAGAAACUUGAGAGGAAGAGCAGUAAACCUCACGAAGACAUCAUUGGUAUCAGAUCUCAAAACCAAGGGUCUUUGGCCCAGGGAAAGAAUUUUUUAAUGAGCAAACUUUCAUCUCUAAAUCAAAAAGUGAAACAGACCAAAUCCAAUAUAAAUAUUGGCAACCUUGGAAAGCUAGGAAACUUUACCAAACCUGAAACAAAAGUUAACUUUCUAAAACCAAACUUAAAAGUAAAUCUUUGGAGAUCAGAUAGUAGUCUUAAAACAAUGGAAAACACAGGAGUGUUGGGUAAGGUUCAGGCAGAGUCUGAUGGGGACAUGUCUUCGGAUAAUGACUCAUACCACCCUAUGAAUUCCUUACAGAUUCUAAGUCUGAUGAAGACAGGCAGCUAGCUAAUUCAUUAGAGAGUGCAGGGCCAAUAGAUUACAUUCUUCCUAGUUGUGGUAUUAUUGCUUCCGCACCUCAGUUAGGCAGUUGGUCUCACUCUCUUAGCAGCACUGAUGGUAGCAGUCAUGCCCCUUCAGAGGUUACUGUUGUCAUGGGAGUGGGCUUGGAAAAGGCCAGGAGUCUCAUUUGAAGAAAAGUCCUUCUGCAACUUUUCAAAAUACACAUAUUGACUGGCUUUGCCAAGCCUAUGGAUAUUUACUGCCACAGAUUUGUGCAAGAUGCACAAAACAAAGUGACCUACCUAUUAGACACUAGGUCUGUGUCUCAGCAGGCUAGUCAGGAAAGAAAUCAAAUGACCAAGUUUCCAACGAAGAAACCCAAUCAGAAUCAACAGAGCAGACACCUUCUCAACUGUCUCAAUUAGAUGUGUCUCUUUCUGCAACAGGCCCACAGUUUUAGUUAAGCCAGUGCAUUCAGUUGCAUUUCAAAAGACCCUUAGUUCCGCUUCCAGCAUGCUUGAACUUGAGACAGGGCUUCAUGUAACUCCUCCUUCAGAGAGCAGUAGCAGCAGAGCAGUCUCUCCCUUUGCAAAGAUUUGAAGUUCCAUGGUCGCGGUUACUAGUAUUACCCAAGCUGGACUAACCCGUGGGUUAAACUUCGCAGUGGCAAAAGUUCAGAAGAGUCCUGCAGAACCUGAAGUGAUUUAUGAAGAUGAAGUCCAGCAAAAUGAACUUAAAAGUAUGUUUAUACGAUGCCAGACACAGAUAAUUCAGAUUUAGCUUUUAGCCAUAAGAAUUCUUCCAUGACUUUUAUUUUAAAAUAUGAGAAGAUGUUUUUACCUCUUGGGGUAUUUUAAUUGUACUGUCUGAAUCCAGGGCCCACAAAUUCUGUUUAUUCAAAUGGUUUUAAGAGGAGUCUGAACCUGAGUAGAUUUCCCAAUUUUAGAGUCAGGACUAUAGAAGUGCAUCAUCCUCAAAUGUGUAGACCUGAAUAGCUUAUACACUACAGAGCGCUUUGCUUAUCUGAAAGUAAUUCAGCAACAGGUCACUUUGGGAUAUAACCUGAACUUUUUUUUGUAGUGGGGUGGGUAGAAUACAUGAAGUAGACACAAGGGCUGGACAUGCAGAUACUUAGGGGAUUAGCAUUUUCCAUAAUUUGUUCUAUUUGUUCAUUCCUGUGUGUUACCUCUACAAAAUAAAGUAUACAUUUAGUUUUUAGUGACUUUAACAUGUUACUGAAGCAUUUAAAUAUAAAGCUAUUUUAGUUUUGAUGGCUUAACUAUUCCCUGAGGAGUUGAGGGUCAUUGAUACUAAAGUCAAAAAGCAAAUUCUCAUUUGAUCCUAAUUUUCCCCGUCUUCUGCUUGAACACGUUAAAAAUUUUCUUCUGCCUAUCCCAUGUAAACCUAGGAGCAUUAAGUCUUGUCAGUCACAUAGUAAACCUGAUACAUCAGAUGUGAAUACCAGCACCUAUUAAAUUUCAUUUUGCUGUUUUCAGGAAUGUAAGAACACAUAUAUUGGCUACUGGAAGUUCUAGAAGGGAGUCAGGUUUUAAUUUAUUCUAGGAGGGGCAUCCUCGACCCCUUAAUAGAUGAUCCACAACUUCAAAAUUUAGUCUGGGCCAAGUGCAGUGGCUCACCCCUAUAAUCCUACCACCUUGGGAGGCCAGGAGUUUGAGACCAGCCUGGGAAACAUCUGUCUCUACAAAAAAAUACAAAAAUGAGCCGGGUGUAGUGGUGGACACCUGUGGUCCUAGCUACGCAAGAGGAUUGCUUGAGCCCAUGAGCUUGAGGCUGCAGUGAGCUGUGAUUGUGCCACUGCCCUCCAGCCUGGGGGACAGAUCGAGACCCUAUCUCAAAAAAA